rnacentral:rRNA from 1 species
AAAUUGAAGAGUUUGAUCAUGGCUCAGAUUGAACGCUGGCGGCAGGCCUAACACAUGCAAGUCGAACGGUAACAGGAAUCAGCUUGCUGAUUCGCUGACGAGUGGCGGACGGGUGAGUAAUGUCUGGGAAACUGCCUGAUGGAGGGGGAUAACUACUGGAAACGGUAGCUAAUACCGCAUAACGUCGCAAGACCAAAGAGGGGGACCUUCGGGCCUCUUGCCAUCGGAUGUGCCCAGAUGGGAUUAGCUUGUAGGUGGGGUAACGGCUCACCUAGGCGACGAUCCCUAGCUGGUCUGAGAGGAUGACCAGCCACACUGGAACUGAGACACGGUCCAGACUCCUACGGGAGGCAGCAGUGGGGAAUAUUGCACAAUGGGCGCAAGCCUGAUGCAGCCAUGCCGCGUGUAUGAAGAAGGCCUUCGGGUUGUAAAGUACUUUCAGCGGGGAGGAAGGGAGUAAAGUUAAUACCUUUGCUCAUUGACGUUACCCGCAGAAGAAGCACCGGCUAACUCCGUGCCAGCAGCCGCGGUAAUACGGAGGGUGCAAGCGUUAAUCGGAAUUACUGGGCGUAAAGCGCACGCAGGCGGUUUGUUAAGUCAGAUGUGAAAUCCCCGGGCUCAACCUGGGAACUGCAUCUGAUACUGGCAAGCUUGAGUCUCGUAGAGGGGGGUAGAAUUCCAGGUGUAGCGGUGAAAUGCGUAGAGAUCUGGAGGAAUACCGGUGGCGAAGGCGGCCCCCUGGACGAAGACUGACGCUCAGGUGCGAAAGCGUGGGGAGCAAACAGGAUUAGAUACCCUGGUAGUCCACGCCGUAAACGAUGUCGACUUGGAGGUUGUGCCCUUGAGGCGUGGCUUCCGGAGCUAACGCGUUAAGUCGACCGCCUGGGGAGUACGGCCGCAAGGUUAAAACUCAAAUGAAUUGACGGGGGCCCGCACAAGCGGUGGAGCAUGUGGUUUAAUUCGAUGCAACGCGAAGAACCUUACCUGGUCUUGACAUCCACGGAAGUUUUCAGAGAUGAGAAUGUGCCUUCGGGAACCGUGAGACAGGUGCUGCAUGGCUGUCGUCAGCUCGUGUUGUGAAAUGUUGGGUUAAGUCCCGCAACGAGCGCAACCCUUAUCCUUUGUUGCCAGCGGUCCGGCCGGGAACUCAAAGGAGACUGCCAGUGAUAAACUGGAGGAAGGUGGGGAUGACGUCAAGUCAUCAUGGCCCUUACGACCAGGGCUACACACGUGCUACAAUGGCGCAUACAAAGAGAAGCGACCUCGCGAGAGCAAGCGGACCUCAUAAAGUGCGUCGUAGUCCGGAUUGGAGUCUGCAACUCGACUCCAUGAAGUCGGAAUCGCUAGUAAUCGUGGAUCAGAAUGCCACGGUGAAUACGUUCCCGGGCCUUGUACACACCGCCCGUCACACCAUGGGAGUGGGUUGCAAAAGAAGUAGGUAGCUUAACCUUCGGGAGGGCGCUUACCACUUUGUGAUUCAUGACUGGGGUGAAGUCGUAACAAGGUAACCGUAGGGGAACCUGCGGUUGGAUCACCUCCUUACCUUAAAGAA